AUUUUGGUCAGUAUUCCUGGAAGGGCCGAGCCCAUGGAUUGAAGUAAAGCUGGGGGAGAGGAGAAGGAACACAGAUACACAACAAGGGGAUUGUGCACCUACUUGCAAACCUAACGCCUUCCAGCUGUUGCGGCAAAACAACUUCACAAAGACUUAAUGUAGUGGUAGCCGAGGGAGUAAGCAUGCAGCAAAAUUCUGGGGUCUAUUCUGGAUCUCCGGGAAACUCAACCUUUAUGACCUUAUUUGCUGGAGGUGGAUCUUCUAAUUGGUUGAUCAAGGCAUUGACCAAAAUCUCAUGGUUGCCAGGAAAGACACAAAGGUGGUCACCAGGCUGGUAGCUCAAUCCGUCCAGAUUGUCUGUGUGUAUCCGCAGUAGUAUUGUGGACCGGCUGCAUGGAAAGACAGAACAAUGCUUCAAACAUCGGGAUUAACCACAACACUCAGCCCACA